rnacentral:rRNA from 1 species
AUUGAACGCUGGCGGCAUGCUUUACACAUGCAAGUCGAACGGUAACAGGCCUUCGGGUGCUGACGAUUGGCGAACGGGUGAGUAAUGCAUCGGAACGUACCCAGAGGUGGGGGAUAACGCAGCGAAAGCUGUGCUAAUACCGCAUGUGAUCUGAGGAUGAAAGCGGGGGACCGAGCAGCAAUGUUUGGCCUCGCGCCUUUGGAGCGGCCGAUGUCGGAUUAGCUAGUUGGUGGGGUAAAGGCCUACCAAGGCGACGAUCCGUAGCUGGUCUGAGAGGACGACCAGCCACACUGGGAGUGAGCCACGGCCCAGACUCCUACGGGAGGCAGCAGUGGGGAAUUUUGGACAAUGGGCGCAAGCCUGAUCCAGCAAUGCCGCGUGCGGGAAGAAGGCCUUCGGGUUGUAAACCGCUUUUGGCAGGAACGAAACGGUGUCCGCUAAUACCGGGCGCUAAUGACGGUACCUGCAGAAUAAGCACCGGCUAACUACGUG